rnacentral:rRNA from 1 species
UACGGAGGGGGCUAGCGUUGUUCGGAAUUACUGGGCGUAAAGCGCGCGCAAGCGGUCUUCCAAGUCAGUGGUGAAAGCCCGGAGCUCAACUCCGGAACUGCCAUUGAAACUGUUAGACUUGAGUACGAGAGAGGUGAGUGGAAUUCCCAGUGUAGAGGUGAAAAUUCGUAGAUAUUGGGAAGAACACCAGUGGCGAAGGCGGCUCACUGGCUCGUAACUGACGCUCAGGCGCGACAGCGUGGGGGAUCAAAACAGG